rnacentral:lncRNA from 9 species
GAGGGAGGGACGGGGGCUCCGGGGGCGGGGCUCGAGGCUCGGACAGCUCCUGCGCCCGGCCUCCUGCGCCCGCGGCCGCCUCUGCCCGUGGCCCAGCCCAGCCUCCGGCUUUUAAAGCCCAGGAGCUGAAGGAGGGGGAGGGAGGAGUGGGGGAGAGGUCGGCGGAAAUGGCUGCUUUGGGCCGGGCCCCCGCCAGGGUCUCCAGGGAGGGGUCUUGGGGAUGCCGCGGACCCCGCUCGUGCGGAGUUCCCAAAGAGCCGCCGGGAACCGAGGCCCAGCGGCCCACAGCAUUGUCGGGCGUAGGGGGAAGGGUGGAAACAGGCCCGAGACCCUCAAGCCCCGACGUGGGAUCUUUGGGGGAGGAACGCAGGGCGGGCCCUAGAGUGGUCCAGCCAGCCCAGCUUUCGGGUGCGGAGGCUAGGGAUCUGCGGGGGCAGAUGGGGGAGGCGGGAGGCGAGGCGGCGAAUGCUGAGGCAGCGAAAGCGCAGUGUGGAAGUGCUGCGCGCGCCCUGUGCCGCAGUGACUCUCUGCCACUCUGUCACCCGGGCUGACCCCGUGCCCGCUGGAGAGGCCUCCAACACCCCCGCCUUUCUCCCGAGGGGCGGAGGUCGAGCGCAACGGCGACGCAGCGAGUGGGGUGUGAAGGGGGAGAGGGGCUGCCAUGUCCUUGCUCCAGAAAUUCGGUUUCAUUGGCGGUUUUCUGCCCUUCCGCGCGCCUGCAGCUCCCCCACGCGGCCCCGCAACCAGGCGGAUAACCCUGCCCCCGGCCGCCCCGGGUUUGCAGCCCCUAUGACGUCACGCUCAGCAGCCAAUGGCGGGCGCGGGGGUGCGGCGAGUUCCGGGCCGCACAAUGGCCGCACGCGGGGACAUAUGUCCCCAAUUAGGGCCCGGUGCCGCCAUUGUCCCCUCACCCGCCCUCUCCCAGCAAUUCGGAUCUCCAAGCUAGGCGCGCGCCCCCACGCGGCCCGCUGUCUCUGGGGACCAAGGUCGCAGGGACGGCUCCCGGGAGUGUCGCGGCGCGUCCGAACGAGCAGCGCGCGCCAGGCGGGGGCGCGCGCUCACCCAUCACUGCACGCGGUGACCUUGUGCGGGGCGGCACGGCGUGCCCGCGGACACCGGCCGGGAGCGCGCGGCGGGAGGGCCACGCGGGGCGGGGGGGACGCCUUCGGGGGCGUGCCUGGAGUGCUGAGCUCAGCGCCCUGGAGCCUGCCGGGCUCCCGGUUUCCUCCCGCAUCUCAGCCCAGGAGCCCAGCGAGGGUGACUGAGCGAGCCGGCCCGGCCCUGGGGCGCGGCGGAGACCACAGGCCCGCUUUGUGGCAGCGCUGGGGUAUUCAUCUUGCGUGGCAGUUGCUCCCGAGGGGCGGGGGCAGGGCUCGGCCUCCCCCUUAUCGCAGAGCCGCAGCCGGCAGGGCCCGCAGUGGGGGCGGGGACAGGGAUCCCCUUGGCCGAGCCGCUUGUCCCUGCCCCCUCCCAAGGGGGCCAGGCAAAGGCGCAGCCGGAGGCCCGGGGCCAAUUAGCAUUUUGAUUGCGGGACUGGGGGCCCAUCUGGACCCAGGCCUAAUUACCAGGCGAACCCUCGGGGCGCCAGCGGGACGUGCCAGGCGCAGUCCCUUCACCCCUUCACCGCCUCCUCCCAGACGAUCCGCCCAGUGCUGCGGACCCACCGCAUCCCUGUCCCCCUCCGUUAGUCCCAGUCGCCCAGUCUCUAGGUCCAGGAGUCCUGAGUGUGCCCACCCUGGCCCUACCCUCUGUUCCAGUUGGUGUAUCUGGAGCAAUUUCCGCCUUCACCCCACUCAUCUUUAUUGA